AUUUAAGGCUUGAACUCCUCUCUUGUCCUGUCAGGGUUCAGCUCCCCCUCCAUCGAGGACUCCAUGGCGAUGGUGGGUGUGGCGCUGGUGCUCUACGGUCUCAUCAAGUUUGUCUCUUGGACCGUCACCAGCUCAGGCUCAGAUGAGGCUGGUCAACAAGAAAAGAAGGACAAGUGAAGAAGACUGAAGUCCACUGCUGGGAAGUGUCCAACAGAACCAACCGAGCCGCCUGUUUUUGGUUCUAAGGCAUCAGUGAGGAAGGGCCUAUGUUUUAUA